rnacentral:rRNA from 1 species
GUAGGGUGCAAGCGUUAAUCGGAAUUACUGGGCGUAAAGCGUGCGCAGGCGGUUCUGUAAGAUAGAUGUGAAAUCCCCGGGCUCAACCUGGGAAUUGCAUAUAUGACUGCAGGACUUGGGUUUGUCAGAGGAGGGUGGAAUUCCACGUGUAGCAGUGAAAUGCGUAGAUAUGUGGAAGAACACCGAUGGCGAAGGCAGCCCUCUGGGACAUGACUGACGCUCAUGCACGAAAGCGUGGGGAGCAAACAGGAUUAGAUACCCUGGUAGUCCACGCCCUAAACGAUGUCUACUAGUUGUUGGGGAUGAUAGUCCUUGGUAACGCAGCUAACGCGUGAAGUAGACCGCCUGGGGAGU